rnacentral:rRNA from 1 species
UACAGAGGUCCCAAGCGUUGUUCGGAUUCAUUGGGCGUAAAGGGUGCGUAGGCGGCGCGGUAAGUCGGGUGUGAAAUCUCGGAGCUUAACUCCGAAAUUGCACUGGAUACUGCUCUGCUAGAGGGCUGGAGAGGAGAUCGGAAUUCACGGUGUAGCAGUGAAAUGCGUAGAUAUCGUAAGGAAGACCAGUGGCGAAGGCGGGUCUCUGGACAGUUCCUGACGCUGAGGCACGAAGGCCAGGGGAGCAAACGGG